GGGGGGGGGGGGGGGGCAGAUGUGGGGUGGUUAUGGGGCAGCUAUGGGGCGGUUUGGGGUCCCAUAUGGCAGUUAUGGGGCACACAGCUCACUUAUGGGGCAGCUAUGGGGCGGUUAUGGGGACUAUAGGGCACUUAUGGGGCACUAUGGGACAGCAAUGGGGCAUCUGUGGGGCAGCCAUGGGGCUAUAUAGGGUAUCUACGGGGCUCUAUGGAACAAUAUAGGGCAUCUAUGGGGCGCCCAUGGGGCAGCUAUGGGGCUCUAUGGGAUAGCUGUGGGGCAGCUAUGGGGCUCUAUGAGGCGCUAUGGGGGAUCUAUGGCGCUCUAUGGGGCACUUUGGGGUAUUUAUGGGGCAGCUAUGGGGUAUCUAUG
rnacentral:lncRNA from 1 species